rnacentral:tRNA from 1 species
GGUCCCGUAGCUCAAAUCGGAAGAGCGCCCGUGUCGGAAUGGGGAGGUUGCAGGUUCGAGUCCUGUCGGGACCGCCA